rnacentral:rRNA from 1 species
UACGUAGGGGGCAAGCGUUGUCCGGAAUCAUUGGGCGUAAAGAGCGUGUAGGCGGCUCGGUAAGUCCGCUGUGAAAGUCCAGGGCUCAACCCUGGAAUGCCGGUGGAAACUGUCGAGCUAGAGUCAGGAAGAGGCGAGUGGAAUUCCUGGUGUAGCGGUGAAAUGCGCAGAUAUCAGGAGGAACACCAAUGGCGAAGGCAGCUCGCUGGGACGGUACUGACGCUGAGACGCGAAAGCGUGGGGAGCAAACAGG